AGAUUAAGUUAUUAAGGGCGCACGGUGGAUGCCUUGGCACUAGAAGCCGAUGAAGGACGUUACUAACGACGAUAUGCUUUGGGGAGCUGUAAGUAAGCUUUGAUCCAGAGAUUUCCGAAUGGGGAAACCCAGCAUGAGUUAUGUCAUGUUAUCGAUAUGUGAAUACAUAGCAUAUCAGAAGGCACACCCGGAGAACUGAAACAUCUUAGUACCCGGAGGAAGAGAAAGAAAAUUCGAUUCCCUUAGUAGCGGCGAGCGAAACGGGAAGAGCCCAAACCAACAAGCUUGCUUGUUGGGGUUGUAGGACACUCUAUACGGAGUUACAAAGGACGACAUUAGACGAAUCAUCUGGAAAGAUGAAUCAAAGAAGGUAAUAAUCCUGUAGUCGAAAAUGUUGUCUCUCUUGAGUGGAUCCUGAGUAC
rnacentral:rRNA from 1 species